rnacentral:rRNA from 1 species
AUUGAACGCUGGCGGCAGGCCUAACACAUGCAAGUCGAACGGUAACAGGAAACAGCUUGCUGUUUCGCUGACGAGUGGCGGACGGGUGAGUAAUGUCUGGGAAACUGCCUGAUGGAGGGGGAUAACUACUGGAAACGGUAGCUAAUACCGCAUAACGUCGCAAGACCAAAGAGGGGGACCCUCGGGCCUCUUGCCAUCGGAUGUGCCCAGAUGGGAUUAGCUUGUUGGUGGGGUAACGGCUCACCAAGGCGACGAUCCCUAGCUGGUCUGAGAGGAUGACGAGCAAGAAUGGAAGAGAGAGCCGGACAGGACGCAUAGGGGAGGCAGCAGUGGGGAGGAGGGGAAAAUGGGGGGAAGAUUGAAGAAGCGAUGCCGCGGGUAUGAAGAAGGUCUACGGGUUGGAAAGUCAUGUCAGCGGGGAGGAAGGGAGAAAAGUCAAUAACUUCGCUGAUUGAAGUGACCGUCAGAAGAAGAACAGGAGAAUUCCGUG